GAACUCCGCACGCAUAUUCAGUUGCCUCCAAUCAAUCGGAGCCUCGUCCGCCUCCUUCCUUUCCUUCGUUCGGGCUCUGCAAUUCCUGCUUUUGGGUGCAGCGCACAAGGUCGAAUCGAGCCUCUCUCUCUUCUCAGGUAAUCAUGGAGUCUCUGCACGAAAACGCCGCCGCACAUCCUCCUCCUCCGCUCCCUCCAUCGGGAACCCUAGCGUCCCACGCUGAUUACCCGCCUCCGCCGCCGCCUCCGCCGGAGCCGCAAUCGUUGGAUUAUUACUAUAGCUCCUCGAUUCAAAUGGGUAAUCAUCAGAAUCCAGCUCAGGACGCUCAAAAUCCCAACGGUUCUCUCAGUAAUGGCCACUUCCCUGCCUCGGAGAACCAAAAUCCUGGUCCUAGACCUGAAAUCGCGAAGGUUGUUUUAUCUGACGGUGGGGCACUUACGAACACUCACAGCGGAACUGAUAAGGACGUCUCUGGAGGCGAGGAGGAGACCACCAGUCGGAGACGCCGUCGCAGCCGUUGGGACCCGCCUUCCGAUUCUAAUGAGCAGAGCGGCGGCGGCGGUGUGGGUAAUGACUCUGGAAGCGGCACAAGGAAGCGCAAGUCGCGCUGGGCGGAUGAUGAGCCGAAGCUGCCUGCGAUUCAGCUUCCGGAUUUCAUGAAAGACUUCACUGGAGGUAUUGAGUUUGACCCUGAAAUUCAAGCCCUUAAUGCUAGGCUGUUGGAAAUUAGCAGGAUGUUGCAGUCUGGUUUGCCCCUUGAUGAUAGGCCAGAGGGAGCUCGCUCCCCUUCUCCGGAACCUAUAUAUGACAACAUGGGUAUUAGGAUCAAUACGAGAGAGUAUCGUGCUCGUGAGCGUCUGAACAAGGAGAGACAGGACAUUAUAACUCAGAUUAUUAAGAGGAAUCCAGCGUUUAAGCCCCCGGCUGAUUAUAGGCCUCCCAAGCUGCAAAAGAAGUUGUACAUACCAAUGAAAGAGUACCCCGGUUACAAUUUUAUUGGACUUAUCAUAGGACCUAGGGGCAAUACCCAGAAAAGGAUGGAACGUGAAACUGGUGCAAAGAUCGUCAUUCGUGGAAAAGGUUCGGUGAAAGAGGGUAGGUUGCAGCAAAAGAGGGAUUUGAAGCCUGAUCCAGCAGAGAAUGAGGAUUUGCAUGUUUUGGUGGAAGCGGAGACACAGGAGGCACUAGAUGCAGCUGCAGGGAUGGUGGAGAAACUGUUGCAGCCUGUUGAUGAGGUUCUAAAUGAGCACAAGAGGCAGCAGCUGAGAGAACUUGCUGCAUUAAAUGGGACCAUAAGGGAUGAGGAAUUUUGUAGAUUAUGCGGGGAACCGGGACAUAGGCAAUAUGCGUGUCCUUCACGUACUUCUACAUUUAAGAGCGAUGUGCUCUGCAAAAUCUGCGGUGACGGUGGACACCCUACUAUUGAUUGUCCUGUGAAGGGAACUACGGGCAAGAAAAUGGAUGACGAGUAUCAGAACUUCUUAGCUGAGCUUGGAGGCACCAUGCCUGAGUCUGCCACCAAGCAGAGCAGUACUUUGGCCAUUGGUGCUGGGCCUGCUGGCAACUCUGGAAGCAACCCUCCUUGGGCUAAUAGUGCUGGUGGCACUGGGACAAGUUCACAUCCUGGUUUAGGAUCAAACCCGGUUAAGCUUUCUAAAGAGUAUGAUGAUACAAAUUUGUACAUUGGAUACUUACCACCUACCCUUGAUGAUGAUGGUUUGAUUCAGUUAUUCUCGCAGUUUGGGGAAAUUGUGAUGGCUAAGGUUAUCAAGGACCGUGUUACUGGACUGAGUAAAGGGUAUGGUUUUGUUAAGUAUGCAGAUGUUCAGAUGGCCAAUGCUGCUAUUCAAGCCAUGAACGGUCAUCGGCUUGAUGGGCGAACCAUUGCUGUCAGAGUUGCAGGGAAGCCUCCCCAACCUACCGUGCCUCCUGGCCCUCCUUCAUCAAGCAUGCCGACAUACACUGUGCCGACACAACCAGUUGGUGCAUAUCCCUCGCAGCAAUUCACAGCAGGUGGUCCUCUACCACCUGUUCCUCCUGCGGGCUAUACAUCGACUCCCGUUCCGUGGGGGCCACCUCUGCCACCGCCUCCUUAUCAUUAUCCUCCUCCGCCGUAUAUGGGUCAUGUUCCAAUGCCAGGCCAACCCAUGCCUCCUUAUGGCAUGUCUUAUCCUCCCCCUCCGCCAUCUGCACAGCCAGUUCCACCAGGUGCUCCGCCUCAGACUGCUCCUCCUACCGAAGCACCACCAAGCUACCCCCCUGGAGUUCAAUCUGAAAACACUAGCUCUUCUCAUUCGGCUCCUGUUAGUGCUUAUGGAACAGCUGCUUCAAUGAUGCCUGCUAGUGCUCAGCCAAUAUACGCUGCAUCUUCUCUGGGUUAUGCUCCAUAUUAUGGUGCUUAUCCUCCCCCAGCUCCUGCACCCACUUCGAAUGCCGAUCCUUCUCAGAGCAUUGCAAAUGUACCUUGGGCGUCAAAUCCUCCUCCGCCACAGCCACCUGCAACUUCCUCAGAGCAGUCAUCGUAUGGAGGAGAUGCAGAAUACGAGAAAUUCAUGGCACAGAUGAAAUGACGUGGGUCCUGUUCUGUGAUUCUACGCAAAUGAAAGGAGUGAUGUUUCUUGGAGCUCUUGUCAACCUGAUUUCUUACCUCUUGCGAUUAUUGGAAGUUUGGGACUCACAUCAUUAACCUUGCUGUGCUGUUAUGACAUUGCAGAAAUUGGACAGGAAAUUCGAUCUACGCAGAUGAAAGAUGCCUAUUCUGCGGUGACCGUAUCUUAUAUCAUGCCCUAGCAUUUGAAGACAUUGAUGUUUGCCCUUUUCAUAUCUUUCGGGAUGGUCGUUCUCCUUAGAAGUCGAAGUUCCUUUGUAGAUAUCCGAGAUCCAGGAUUCCUGCAGAUCAAUCUCAGGACUGAAAUCAUCCUUCAGCAGGAGAGAUGCUAGUCCUAAACCUGAUCUCUGACGCUAUCUCUUGCAGGUUUUUAUUGUCCAAAUUGUAUGUCUGAUAUCGUAUUGACAUAAAAUGGGCUUGUGCGUUGUUUGCUCUGAUACAGUAUCCAUGGUCCUCAUCAAAGGAGUCUUGAGGCUCUGCUGCAUAUGGGCGCUCAUUAUGUUGUCCGUCACUCUUUUUUAUGCCAGUGGAUUAGCCGUUCGCAGACUAUAAUCAGUUGACUUCCUAAGAUUUCACUUUGAACUUGCUCAGGCUAAAAAUUGUAUGCUUCUUAGAGAAGUUGGCCGCUUCUGGUUAUAGUCAGAUCUAGUCGGAUCCAAACUGAUGGAUGGAUGGUUGACCAGAUGCUCAGUGUGUAUAUAUUUGUUGAGUGCCUGAACAGUAGUACAUCGAGUCCCUGAUUCGGUCAAGCCUAA